AUUUUGAGUAUGAACAGAAGAUGUGAGGCUGUAAUUCGUAGUAGAAGUAGAAAUACUCCAUAUUAAAUAAACUUUUAUUAAUUAAUAUGCAACAAUAAAACAAGAAUCUAGAAAUUUAACCUAAUAAAACAUAUCUGGGACAUUCUUGGGAGAUUUUUAAGGAACCAUACUAACUAUCCGAAUACUUAGAGGAUGUGAAGUGUCUUGUAGUUUAAUUUUAGGAGAUUUUGUACCAAAAUGAAAUUCGAACCCAGAUUUUGAGUAUGAACAGAAGAUGUGAGGCUGUAAUUCGUAGUAGAAGUAGAAAUACUCCAUAUUAAAUAAACUUUUAUUAAUUAAUAUGCAACAAUAAAACAAGAAUCUAGAAAUUUAACCUAAUAAAACAUAUCUGGGACAUUCUUGGGAGAUUUUUAAGGAACCAUACUAACUAUCCGAAUACUUAGAGGAUGUGAAGUGUCUUGUAGUUUAAUUUUAGGAGAUUUUGUACCAAAAUGAAAUUCGAACCCAGAUUUUGAGUAUGAACAGAAGAUGUGAGGCUGUAAUUCGUAGUAGAGGUAGAAAUACCCCAUAUUAAGUUCAAA